rnacentral:rRNA from 1 species
CCUACGGGGGGCUGCAGUGGGGAAUAUUGGACAAUGGGCGAAAGCCUGAUCCAGCCAUGUCGCGUGUGUGAAGAAGGCCUUCGGGUUGUAAAGCACUUUCAGUGGGGAAGAAAGCCUUGGGGCUAAUACCCUCGAGGAAGGACAUCACCCACAGAAGAAGCACCGGCUAACUCCGUGCCAGCAGCCGCGGUAAUACGGAGGGUGCGAGCGUUAAUCGGAAUUACUGGGCGUAAAGCGCGCGUAGGCGGUCUGAUAAGCCGGUUGUGAAAGCCCCGGGCUCAACCUGGGAACGGCAUCCGGAACUGUCAGGCUAGAGUGCAGGAGAGGAAGGUAGAAUUCCCGGUGUAGCGGUGAAAUGCGUAGAGAUCGGGAGGAAUACCAGUGGCGAAGGCGGCCUUCUGGACUGACACUGACGCUGAGGUGCGAAAGCGUGGGUAGCAAACAGGAUUAGAUACCCCAGUAGUC